CUCGGAAAGAAAGAAUCGAAAAAUCAGUUGGUAUAACAUCGCCAUAACUACAGCUGUCAUCUUAACUUUUGGACUAGCAGUAUGCGGAAUGAUUUUGGUCGUUCAGAAUAACAACGGAAUCCAAAAACUAAUGGAGGCAUUGGAAGUGGAAAUUGAGAAUAUCACGACCAAAUUGAUGCACAGUCAUGAA